rnacentral:rRNA from 1 species
CGGCGGACGGGUGAGUAACACGUGGAUAACCUACCUAUAAGACUGGGAUAACUUCGGGAAACCGGAGCUAAUACCGGAUAAUAUAUUGAACCGCAUGGUUCAAUAGUGAAAGACGGUUUUGCUGUCACUUAUAGAUGGAUCCGCGCCGCAUUAGCCAGUUGGUAAGGUAACGGCUUACCAAGGCAACGAUGCGUAGCCGACCUGAGAGGGUGAUCGGCCACACUGGAACUGAGACACGGUCCAGACUCCUACGGGAGGCAGCAGAC